rnacentral:rRNA from 1 species
AUGGCGUUCAUGCGGUACCGUGCGCUGCCGCAGGGGGAGGUGACCGCGGAGGAGUUCUGGGCGUGGCUGGGGCAGUUCGACGCGGACCACGACGGCCGGAUCAGCCGGGAGGAGCUGCAGCGCGCGCUGCGGAGCCUCAGCCUGUGGUUCGCGUCCUGGAAGGCGCGGGAAGGGGUGCAGGCCGCGGACGCCAACCGCGACGGUGCCGUCGGCAGGGAGGAGGCCGGCCGGCUCUUCGCCUACGCGCAGAGGCAGCUCGGCGGCAAGAUCACCCAGCUCGGUUCCUAUGGAUCAAACUGGGCAUGA